AUGGUGAAGAGGGCAGUGCUGUGCAGAUGAGUGGGAGGAAUGGGGGAGGCAACAAAACAAGCUCUGGGAAGCACUCCAAAGGUCUGGGUUGAAGAAAAGAGAUGUCAUGUCCAUACAUGGGGAUAAAAAUAGCACAGGAGACUGAUUGGAAAUAAUACAUUCAGGCUACAGCCAUUAAAGGGAAAUGAUCAAGAAUGUGUAAUGGAAAAAUCUGGAGACCAAACCACCCAUCCCUGCAGUGGAUCAUCUGAAGUAAUACACUGCAAAAGGCAGUUGCAGGCCCUUUCUUUUGACAUGGAAUGGAUACUACCAGUGUCUGGACAGGUUGUCUUUUUCAUUUGUAGUGUAACAGAGGCCUCAGUAGAAUUUCU